GACAGAGGUGGCAAGCGUUGUUCGGAAUUACUGGGCUUAAAGGGCGCGUAGGUGGUGAUACAAGUCCGAGGUGGAAGGCCAAGGCUUAACCUUGGGAUUGCCUUGGAAACUGUAUUACUUGAGUCAGACAGGGGAUGGCGGAAUUCCCGGUGUAGCGGUGAAAUGCGUAGAUAUCGGGAGGAAGGCCGGUGGCGAAGGCGGCCAUCUGGGUCUGAACUGACACUGAGGCGCGAAAGCGUGGGGAGCAAACAGG
rnacentral:rRNA from 1 species